rnacentral:lncRNA from 1 species
AGUUUUUAUAUGCAUUUAAUAUUUUUAAAAAUAGUUCAAAAGCUGUCAAAAUAAAAUGGUGAAUUGAGUUUAAACCAGAAAAGAUAUAAACGUAAUCUUUGGGAUUCAACUUGUAAGGAUGUUCCAAGAACCACUUAGUUGGAGAAGGAAAACUGUGCCGUUCAUUAACAAGUCCUGUGCUUUAUAAUAUAUUAAAAAAUGGAAGGACGUGAAGAAAACAGGCAGGAAUGUUUGACUGGAAAUAUAAACGAUGUUGUACAUAAUGCAGAUAGCUUAGGCAAAAAAGAGUAUGUUAUACAUAUG